rnacentral:rRNA from 1 species
UGAGGAAUAUUGGACAAUGGAGGAGACUCUGAUCCAGCCAUGCCGCGUGCAGGAAGAAUGCCCUAUGGGUAGUAAACUGCUUUUAUACGGGAAGAAAAAGAGCUACGUGUAGCUUACUGACGGUACCGUAAGAAUAAGGACCGGCUAACUCCGUGCCAGCAGCCGCGGUAAUACGGAGGGUCCGAGCGUUAUCCGGAAUUAUUGGGUUUAAAGGGUCCGUAGGCGGGCCGAUAAGUCAGGGGUGAAAGUCUGCCGCUCAACGGUAGAACUGCCUUUGAUACUGUCGGUCUUGAGUUAUAGUGAAGUUGCCGGAAUAUGUAGUGUAGCGGUGAAAUGCAUAGAUAUUACAUAGAACACCGAUUGCGAAGGCAGGUGACUAACUAUAUACUGACGCUGAUGGACGAGAGCGUGGGGAGCGAACAGGAUUAGAUACCCUGGUAGUCCACGCCGUAAACGAUGGAUACUAGCUGUCCGGGACCUUGAGUUCUGGGCGGCCAAGCGAAAGUGAUAAGUAUCCCACCUGGGGAGUACGUUCGCAAGAAUGAAACUCAAGAAUGAAACUCAAAGGAAUUGACGGGGGCCCGCACAAGCGGUGGAGCAUGUGGUUUAAUUCGAUGAUACGCGAGGAACCUUACC